AUAUUAAUAAGCGGAGGAAAAGAAACUAACAAGGAUUCCCCUAGUAACGGCGAGUGAAGCGGGAUGAGCUCAAGCUUAAAAUCUCUGCGCAAAUUUUGCGUGGCGAAUUGUAGUCUAUAGAGGCGUGGUCAGUGUAGCCACCUAGGGUAAGUUCCUUGGAAGAGGACAGCACGGAGGGUGAUACUCCCGUUUAUCCUUGAGUAGCUAUGCGUACGACCCGUUUUCUUUGAGUCGCGUUGUUUGGGAAUGCAGCGCAAAGCAGGUGGUAAAUUCCAUCUAAAGCUAAAUAUUGGUGCGAGACCGAUAGCAUACAAGUACCGUGAGGGAAAGAUGAAAAGAACUUUGAAAAGAGAGUUAAAGAGUACCUGAAACUGCUGAAAGGGAACCGAAUCGUUUCCAGUGUCUAUAAUCCGUGGUAUAUUUCAUUAGCGGGUGCGUGCGUGCGUGUACUAUGGCAGCGGCUUUUUUGGCUGCGCUUGGUGCGUGUGUUGUAUGUGCUUGCUGGUGCCCUGUGCUGCGGUGGGACGUCAAGGUCAGUUCGUAUACUGCGGGAAAUGGCUGCCGAGGAGGUAGGGCUUACGCUUUGCGUUUGUCUGUUAUAUCUUGGUGGACGAGUCGUCGCGGUUGGGACUGAGGUGCCUACAACGUGCUUUUGAGUGAGAUUGGGUCUCCGUGUGCGCCGCGUGCGGAUAGCUUGCUAUGUGCGUGUGGUAGUGUAUGGAUUGAUGCGAACUUUAACUUGUGGCCGUUCGGGACGUUGACGAAAUGGAGCGAUCCGACCCGUCUUGAAACACGGACCAAGGAGUCUAACAUGUGUGCAAGUGUUAGGGUGUGGAAACCCCAGCGCGAAAUGAAAGUAAAGGAUAGCGAAAGUUAUCUGAGGUAGGAAACGUCGCGGACUUCGGUCUGUAGCGUGGCACUAUCGACCGAUCAUGAACCUUCGUGGUGAAAGAUUUGAGUUUGAGCACAUAUGUUGGUACCCGAAAGAUGGUGAACUAUGCCUGAGUAGGGUGAAGCCAGGGGAAACUCUGGUGGAAGCUCGUAGCGAUUCUGACGUGCAAAUCGAUCGUCAAACUUGGGUAUAGGGGCGAAAGACUAAUCGAACCAUCUAGUAGCUGGUUCCCUCCGAAAUUUCCCUCAGGAUAGCAACAACUUAUUUACGAUAGUUUUAUGAGGUAAAGCGAAUGAUUAGAGGCUUUGGGGAAGAAACUUCCUCGACCUAUUCUCAAACUUUAAAUCUGUAAGACCUGUAGGUUUCUUAAUUGAACUUGCGGAUGUGAAUAUCAAGUUGUUAGUGGGCCAUACGGGGUAAGCUCGUCUGGCGAUGCGGGAUGAACCGAACGCAAAGUUAAAGUGCCAAAAUACUCGCUCACCUAGAUACCAUAAAAGGUGUUGGUUCAUUUAGACAGCAGGAC
rnacentral:rRNA from 1 species